GGGGGCCUAAUACAUGCAGUCGAGCGAAUGGAUUAAGAGCUUGCUCUUAUGAAGUUAGCGGCGGACGGGUGAGUAACACGUGGGUAACCUGCCCAUAAGACUGGGAUAACUCCGGGAAACCGGGGCUAAUACCGGAUAACAUUUUGAACCGCAUGGUUCGAAAUUGAAAGGCGGCUUCGGCUGUCACUUAUGGAUGGACCCGCGUCGCAUUAGCUAGUUGGUGAGGUAACGGCUCACCAAGGCAACGAUGCGUAGCCGACCUGAGAGGGUGAUCGGCCACACUGGGACUGAGACACGGCCCAGACUCCUACGGGAGGCAGCAGUAGGGAAUCUUCCGCAAUGGACGAAAGUCUGACGGAGCAACGCCGCGUGAGUGAUGAAGGCUUUCGGGUCGUAAAACUCUGUUGUUAGGGAAGAACAAGUGCUAGUUGAAUAAGCUGGCACCUUGACGGUACCUAACCAGAAAGCCACGGCUAACUACGUGCCAGCAGCCGCGGUAAUACGUAGGUGGCAAGCGUUAUCCGGAAUUAUUGGGCGUAAAGCGCGCGCAGGUGGUUUCUUAAGUCUGAUGUGAAAGCCCACGGCUCAACCGUGGAGGGUCAUUGGAAACUGGGAGACUUGAGUGCAGAAGAGGAAAGUGGAAUUCCAUGUGUAGCGGUGAAAUGCGUAGAGAUAUGGAGGAACACCAGUGGCGAAGGCGACUUUCUGGUCUGUAACUGACACUGAGGCGCGAGUUUAUGACUCCCC
rnacentral:rRNA from 1 species